UCCCGUUGAUCCUGCGGGAGAUGGCUGCUAGUGGGAUUCGAUUAAGCCAUGCAAGUCAGAUAGCAAUAUCGGCGGAAUGCUCAGUAACACGUCGGUAACGUGCCCUAUGGUCAGGGAUAAUCUCGGGAAACUGAGUGUAACACCUGGUGGGAGAACAAGACUGGAAUGUCUGUUCUCCGAAACUCGUGCCAUAGGAUCGGCCGGCGGCGGAUUAGGCUGUUGGUGGGGUAACGGCCCACCAAACCAAAGAUCCGUACGGGCCAUGAGAGUGGUAGCCCGGAGAGGGACACUGAGAUACUGGUCCCAGCCCUACGGGGUGCAGCAGGCGCGAAACCUCCACAAUGCACGAAAGUGUGAUGGGGGAAUCCCACGUGCUCAUGUUUUACAUGGGCUUUUGUUGAAUUUAGGGAGUUCGGCGAAUAAGGGGUGGGCAAGACCGGUGCCAGCCGCCGCGGUAACCCCGGCGCCCCGAGUGGCCAUCGCGAUUAUUGGGCCUAAAGCGUCCGUAGCCUGUUCGGCAAAUCUCUUGUGAAAUCGUUGCGCUUAACGUGACGGCGCGCAGGAAACACUACCGAACUCGGGACCGGGAGGGGUUAGAGGUAUGUCGUGGGGACUGGUAAAAUGGGAUAAUCCACGAUAGACCACCGAUGGCGAAGGCAUCUAACCAGAACGGGUCCGACGGUGAGGGACGAAAGCCAGGGGAGCAAACCGGAUUAGAUACCCGAGUAGUCCUGGCCGUAAACGCUGUGAGCUAGGUGUCGCCUAUCCCAUGAGGAUGGGCGGUGUCGAAAUGAAGAUGCUAAGCUCACCGCCUGGGAAGUACGGUCGCAAGACUGAAACUUUAAGGAAUUGGCGGGGGCGCACACAAGGGGUGCGGCGUGCGGUUUAAUCCAACUCAACGCGGAGAAUCUUACUAGGAGCGACGGCAGGAUGAAGGCCAGGCUGAAGACCUUGCCCGACGAGCCGAGAGGUAGUGCAUGGCCGUCGCCAGCUCGUGCUGUAAAGUGUCCAGUUAAGUCUGGUAACGAGCGAGACCUGUACCCACAGUUGCUAACAGCGCUUGCGGACUGAGCACACUGUGGGGACUGCUUUCGUAAGGAAGAGGAAGGUGCAGGCAACGGUAGGUCUGUAUGCUCCGAAUCUCCUAGGCUACACGCGCGCAACAAUGGUAAGGACAAUGGGCUGCGACCCCGAAAGGGGAAGCCAAUCCUCAAAACCUUAUCGUAGUCCGGAUCGAGGCUUGCAACUCAGCCUCGUGACGUCGGAAUCCCUAGUAAUCCACUUUCACCAUAUGUGGGUGAAUAUGUCCCUGCGCCUUGCACACACCGCCCGUCAAACCAACCGAGCAGGGUCUCGGUAAAGCACCGCUUCUUGGCGUUGCUGAAUCGAGGCUCAGUGAGGUGGGUUAAGUCGUCACAAGGUCACCGUAGGGGAACCUGCGGUGGGAUCACCUCC
rnacentral:rRNA from 1 species